AGAGUUUGAUUAUGGCUCAGAACGGAACGCUGGUGGCCGUGUCUUAUACAUGCAAGUCGAGCGAGGCAGCAAUGCCGAGCGGCGAACGGGUGAGUAACGCGUAAGCAAUCUGCCCCAUAUCAGGAAAUACCCGUGCCAACGCGCGGUUAAUGUCCAGGAGAGUGGCCAGCUGCAUGGCUGGUUGACUAGAGAUUUAUCGGUAUGGGAUGAGCUUGCGUCCGAUUAGCUAGUGGCGGGCAACGGCCCACCAAGGCGACGAUCGGUAGCCGGCCUGAGAGGGUGAUCGGCCACAUUGGGACUGAGAUACGGCCCAGACUCCUACGGGAGGCAGCAGUAGGGAAUAUUGCACAAUGGGGGAAACCCUGAUGCAGCAACGCCACGUGUGGGAAGAAGCAUUUCGGUGUGUAAACCACUGUCAUGAGGGAAUAAGGCCCGCCUUCGGACGGGAUUGAAUGUACCUUGAGAGGAAGCACCGGCAAACUUCGUGCCAGCCGCGGC
rnacentral:rRNA from 1 species